UGGAGAGUUUGAUCCUGGCUCAGAUUGAACGCUGGCGGCAUGCCUUACACAUGCAAGUCGAACGGCAGCACGGGUGCUUGCACCUGGUGGCGAGUGGCGAACGGGUGAGUAAUACAUCGGAACAUGUCCUGUAGUGGGGGAUAGCCCGGCGAAAGCCGGAUUAAUACCGCAUACGAUCUACGGAUGAAAGCGGGGGACCUUCGGGCCUCGCGCUAUAGGGUUGGCCGAUGGCUGAUUAGCUAGUUGGUGGGGUAAAGGCCUACCAAGGCGACGAUCAGUAGCUGGUCUGAGAGGACGACCAGCCACACUGGGACUGAGACACGGCCCAGACUCCUACGGGAGGCAGCAGUGGGGAAUUUUGGACAAUGGGCGAAAGCCUGAUCCAGCAAUGCCGCGUGUGUGAAGAAGGCCUUCGGGUUGUAAAGCACUUUUGUCCGGAAAGAAAUCCUUGGUUCUAAUAUAGCCGGGGGAUGACGGUACCGGAAGAAUAAGCACCGGCUAACUACGUGCCAGCAGCCGCGGUA
rnacentral:rRNA from 1 species